rnacentral:rRNA from 1 species
UACGUAGGGGGCAAGCGUUGUCCGGAUUUAUUGGGCGUAAAGAGCGUGUAGGCGGCUUGGUAGGUCUUGCGUCAAAACCUGAGGCUCAACCUCAGUUCGCGUGGGAAACCACCUAGCUAGAGUUCGGAAGAGGAGAACGGAAUUCCCAGUGUAGCGGUGAAAUGCGCAGAUAUUGGGAAGAACACCAGUGGCGAAGGCGGUUCUCUGGGACGGUACUGACGCUGAGACGCGAAAGCGUGGGGAGCGAACAGG